GGGGCUGGCGUCGAUUCCGGAGAGGGAGCCUGAGAUCGGCUACCACAUGCCAGGAUGGCAGCAGGCGCGAAAAUUACCCACUCCCGGCACGGGGAGGUAGUGACGAAAAAUACGGAUACGGGACUCAAACGAGGCUCCGUAAUUCGAAUGAGUACAAUUUAAAUCCUUUAACGAGGACCAAUUGGAGGGCAAGUCUGGUGCCAGCAGCCGCGGUAACUCCAGCUCCAAAAGCGUAUAUUAAAGUUGCUGCAGUUAAAAAGCUCGUAGUUGGAUCUGGGUUGUGCGUUCACGCGCCUUUACUUGUUUAUCAGACUCGGUAAUACCCGGGCUGGUGUUCGAGUUGGUGUAGUGGGCGUGCUGCCUUUCAGCCGUGUCUGUGUAAACGGGUGCUGACUGGGUUGAUGGGCUUGUCUUGUUAACCUGUUGGCAUGCUUCUAGAUGCCCUUUACCGGGUGUCGGGAGCGGACGGCAUCUUUACUUUGAACAAAUUUGAGUGCUCAAAGCAGGCCUGUGGGCCUGAAAAUUCUUGCAUGGAAUAAUGGAAUAGACUUCGUUCUAUUUUGUUGGUUUUCGGAUCCAAAUAAUGUUAAAGGACCAAAGGGAUUUUUUUUAAAAAA
rnacentral:rRNA from 1 species